rnacentral:rRNA from 1 species
AUUGAACGCUGGCGGCAUGCCUUACACAUGCAAGUCGAACGGCAGCACGGGGGCAACCCUGGUGGCGAGUGGCGAACGGGUGAGUAAUACAUCGGAACGUGUCCUGUAGUGGGGGAUAGCCCGGCGAAAGCCGGAUUAAUACCGCAUACGCUCUACGGAGGAAAGGGGGGGAUCUUAGGACCUCCCGCUACAGGGGCGGCCGAUGGCAGAUUAGCUAGUUGGUGGGGUAAAGGCCUACCAAGGCGACGAUCUGUAGCUGGUCUGAGAGGACGACCAGCCACACUGGGACUGAGACACGGCCCAGACUCCUACGGGAGGCAGCAGUGGGGAAUUUUGGACAAUGGGGGCAACCCUGAUCCAGCAAUGCCGCGUGUGUGAAGAAGGCCUUCGGGUUGUAAAGCACUUUUGUCCGGAAAGAAAACGCCGUGGUUAAUACCCGUGGAGGAUGACGGUACCGGAAGAAUAAGCACCGGCUAACUACGUG